UUUUGGGAAAGUUCAUAGUGUAAGCCUUUUCAGAAACAUGGGCUCAGAAACUGGCUUACAAGACAACGUUACAUUCUGGCCCAUCUUUCAUAGUGGGCAAGAAUAACCCCAUUCCGGCGGACAGGAGCGCAGUCCUUCAACACGCCACAAGCCUUUCCUCCUCUUCGUCACCCACCGCCGACGGCUAGCCAUGUCCGCCGAGCCCACCUCUCCGCCUCUAUCGACGGCGCAGGUCCGCGGGAGCCUCAUCCCGCCGCUUCCAGACGACUUGGCUGUCCACUGCAUCGCUCUCUUGCCGCGCGCCGCGCACCCAUCCCUGGCCCUCGUCUCCCGCGCUUUCCACGCCCUCCUGUGCCGCCACCCGGAGCCGCUCCUCGCCGCGCGCCGCACCCUCCGCUGCUCCGAACCCCACGUCCUCCUCUCCCUCCGCCCACCCUCCUCCGCGUCCCCUAUCUUCUUCCUCCUGCUCCCGCACCCCGGGUGGCCCCCGCUCCCGCUUCCCUCCCCUCCCGUCCCCGUCUCGUCCUCCGCGUCGGCCGCCACCGACGGCGCCCGGCUCUUCCUCGUCGGCGGAUCCGUAUCCGCGGUCCCCUCUGCGUCCGUGCAGAUCCUGGACCCCCGGGCCAGAUCCUGGUCCGCCGGCCCGCGCCUGUCCUCUACGCGGGAGUUCGCCGCGGCCGUCGCGCACUCCGGGGCGCUGUUCGUCGCCGGCGGCUGCAUCCCCUCGUCCCCUUUCUGGGCCGAGGCUCUCGACCUCUCCACUCCGAACGCCAAGUGGAGAGCCGUCGCCAGCCCGGCCCACCUCCGCGAGAAGUGGAUGCACGGCUGCGCGUCGCUCGACGGGAAGGUCGUUGUGGUGGCGGACCGUGGCGGCUUGUCCUACGAUCCUUCGGCGCCACCUGCGGAGGCGUGGGCACCGGUGUCGCCGGUGCUUGACAUGGGAUGGAAGGGCCGAGCUGCAGUGGUUGAGGGAAUCCUCUACUCUUACGAUUACCUGGGACAGGUCAAGGGGUAUGAUCCGUACACUGAUUCUUGGAGCACAGUGGAGGGGUUGGAGGGGGAGCUACCUAAGUUCUUGUGCGGCGCCACACUUGCCGAUGUUGGAGGAUUGCUCUACUUGGUUUGGGAAGGAAAGUGGAAAGGGAAAUUAAAAGGUAAGAUGGAAAUGAGGAGCAUGGUAGUGAUUGAAUGGGCCAGCAUUCAGAUUACAAGGGUCCAAGAGGGACGGCUAAGAGGAAAGGUUGUCUCUAGGGACACUGUUCUGUUCCCGGAUAUGCCAAGAGGUUCAACGAUCACACAUUGCAUUGCAUUGGAGUUGUGAUGCAGCAGAUGCAGAUGUAAAGCAGGAAUAACCGAACAAAACCUUAGCGGACAGGGAUGGGAGCAAUUUAAUCUCCACGGGGAUUGAAACAGCAAAAAGUUAGUCCCUGUUAAAUAUAUAUUGGACGGAUGAUAUUUAUGUUUGGAACCAAGCUUGUAUCAUUAUUCAGUUUGUGUUCUUGAAUGUCUGGAUCACAGUCAUUGAUAAAUGACUUGUCAGCAUUUCACCUGCACAGGUCACCUUGAUCAGCAUUUUAAAAGUUCCAAUUUCUUCAUUCAGCUGUACUGCUGCCUGCUUGCGAGAAGUGAGCUAGUUCUUGGUCACUGGAAUGCCCUUCAGCGUCAGUAAAUAGUCACCUAUUCUCGUUACUGCUGUAGGUUCCAACGAUGAUUCAGGCGGUUUGUUCCACUUAUAUUGGCUUUCAAGGCUUGCUGGCUAACGGUUGAUAUCAUGGGGCCAUUGCAACAGAAAAAUACUUCAGUUGUGUUGAUUAGAUAUGCCAUCAGUUAGUCCAGUCGGUGCUGAUUAUGCUGAUACAUUCAUGACACGGUUAUAUUCAGCCAGUGUACCAUUUAUUAGUAGUUGUAUAGCAGGUACUCUGUUAGUCUUGCCCCUGUUCCCAAACAAACUCUUUUAGCGGUCACACUUGUUAGAUAUUAUUUCGGGGUGUUUGAAUGUACUAGACCUAAUAGUUAGUAGCUAAAAUUAGUUGAAGAGAUUCAAACACCCUAGCUAAUAGUUCAACUAUUUGUUAGCUAAUAAUUCAACUAUUAGUUAUUUUUAGUAAAUUAGUUAAUAUUUAGCUAGCUAUUUGUUAGCUAGAUACUUGCACUAGCAAAUUUUUAGCCAGCUAACUAUUAGCUCUAAUGCAUUCAAACACCCUAUUAGUGUAUCUGUACGAAGUCUCUUGAGUUGUGGCACCGAUAGGUUGCAUUCUGAGGCAUCAUUAGAGUAUACCCACCUAUUUUUGUGCCAAAAUGCCAUGCCAUGGAUCACAUCUCAGUACUAGCCAUGUCAAAGAAACGUUCUUUCAUCCUCAGGCAUCAAAUGAUGGAAUUUUAGUAUGUCACUGAAUUGCAGGAACAAUAUUCCCGAAGUAUCGCAAUGCCUUCAUCGCAACUCCUUGAGUGAUCCCAUCAUUCUAAAGAUAUAUGUAAGAAUUGGAAGUUCAAAAUUGGUCCGCCUAGAAUUUCUGUGCAUCUUAGAGCAUCUCCAAGAGGGGUCUUAUUAAACAAGGUUGUAUAUUGAAAUAUAGGGCUUGGGACCUAAGAGCAACUCCAGUAGUUCUCUAAAAGACUUCCUAAAUCAAUAAUUUAGGUAGUUAACAUGAAAACUAUUCUCCAACAGUUCUCUAAAUGAACUUUCUAAAUUUAACAACUUGUCAUCUAACCUCAUUUUCUCUCUACAUUUGGCAACCAUUUAACAACUCCCUAAACAAAAAUGUUGACUGCAUUAUAUAGUUUUUGUGACUUAUUUUUUAUGUGGAUAAAUACAAAACAAAAUUACAACCUAUAUUUAGAGAACUAUUGGAGAACUCAUAUUUUUUUACUCUAAAAGUCAUUUAGCAACUUCUUAAAUCUGUAAUUUAGAGAGCUAAAAUUUACAUAACUAUUGGAGUUGCUCUAAGCGGUGACCCUAUUUCAUCAAAAUUUAUCAAAUGAUUAUAGGGUUUGGCAUCUGAGGUUCUAAAUAUAGUAUCACAUAUAUUGAAGUCCUAUCCUUAUUUUCUCUUAAUCUACAACUAUUUAUUUUCUUAGAUAGCAUUAUUUGAGGCCAAACUGUUGGAGUAAAUUUCUUUUGAGGCACUAAACACUUUAAUAAUGGUUCUAUUUCAAUUCUAAGGCGCUAUUUUAGAGUUCUUUGUUAGAGAUGCUCCAUGUAAAACUUACUCCCUUUGGUGUCCUAUUAGUUGUUGUUUUGGAUAAGGUUUGAGUCAAACUUAUAAAAUUUUGACUAUAAAUAAUUUUUUGUUGUUUAUUUUUGAAAUCUAAUAUUUAUAUGCAUCGAUUUAUAUUAAAAAGUAUUUUUUUUAUAAAAGUAUAAAUGAAUUAAGAGUUUAUUUGUAUAUUUUUUUAAAUAUUUGUCAAAGUUAUAUUUUGGAGACCGUCUAAACGACAACUAAUAGAACACCGAAGUGAGUAAUCUUUAGCCAAGCGUGUUGCUUUUUUUACUUGCAGGGAGCAGACAAUGCUAAGCCUCGUGGUCACGGUGUGUUUCGAUUCGACUGGCUACAGGUGUUCGGACGGCUACAAAUGCAAUACAUAAAGAUAAAAUACUAAAAUAGUUAUAGCCGCAGUCGGAUUAAGCCACAGUCAGGAUUAAAACCGUAGUAAACAGCCAUGGUUGAGCGCUUGGGAAGGACAUCAUCCGCUUGGAAUCUUCAGGUCUUUGAAGUAGCGAAGUUUGACGGCAAAGAAACUACCUGGACUAGCCACUGUAAGGUGUAGAUGGAUAUUACUUGUUUUGUUUCUAUAUUUUCUCUCCGGAUUCGGAUAUAAAUAUAAAUAUUAUCGAGUUUUGGCGGUUCGAGUGACUAUUGAUAUUUUAUAUAUUUACUAGUCA